rnacentral:rRNA from 1 species
UACGUAGGGUGCGAGCGUUGUCCGGAAUUAUUGGGCGUAAAGAGCUCGUAGGCGGUCUGUCGCGUCGAUCGUGAAAACUUGGGGCUUAACCCUGAGCUUGCGGUCGAUACGGGCAUGACUGGAGUUCGGCAGGGGAGACUGGAAUUCCUGGUGUAGCGGUGAAAUGCGCAGAUAUCAGGAGGAACACCGGUGGCGAAGGCGGAUCUCUGGGCCAUUACUGACGCUGAGGAGCGAAAGCGUGGGGAGCGAACAGG